rnacentral:tRNA from 3 species
GGAGAGGUGGCAGAGUGGUCGAUCGCGUCGGUCUCGAAAACCGAAGUCCUCGCAAGGGGACCGUGGGUUCGAAUCCCACCCUCUCCGCCA